AGAAUAAUUCACAAUGGGGGCAACCCUGAUGGUGCAACGCCGCGUGGAGGAUGACGGUCUUCGGAUUGUAAACUCCUGUCAUCUGGGAGUAAGACCUGGCUGUGAAUAGCAGACAGGGUUGAUAGUACCAGGAGAGGCAGGGACGGCUAACUUCGUGCCAGCAGCCGCGGUAAUACGAAGGUCCCGAGCGUUGUUCGGAAUCACUGGGCGUAAAGGGAGCGUAGGCGGCGCGGUAAGUCAGAUGUGAAAUCCCGGGGCUCAACCCCGGAACUGCAUCCGAUACUGCCGUGCUAGAGGAUUGGAGAGGUAGCUGGAAUUCUUGGUGUAGCAGUGAAAUGCGUGGAGAUCAAGAGGAACACUCGUGGCGAAAGCGAGCUACUGGACAAUAACUGACGCUGAGGCUCGAAGGCUAGGGUAGCGAA
rnacentral:rRNA from 1 species